UUAAAUGAUGUAGCCGGCGUCCCCAAGCCAACCCAAGCCAUUCAGUUACAGUGUGAAUGUCUGAUCGAUAAGAGGAGCUAUUCAGCGGAGAGCUGAAGCAAAAAUAAAAAGAGAUUUGUUCGAUUUCCCAUUUGCCGCCGCCCGCCCGUCGCCUGCUGCCAUCACGUCGUUUCAUGCAUCAAAAAUUUAAGUGCUCUUCUUACACCACGUUGCCACCACCACGCUGCCGCCACAUAUUGUCUGCCUCCGGUGUCGUUGUCGUCAUUUGCCACACCACGUUCCUUCCAGCCACCACGUUGUUCCCGCCAGCCACCUCCAUCAUCACGCUUAAAUAAUUCCUGUGCCAUCACGUUGCCACCACCACGCUGCCGGCACAUCCGCCACAUUAUUGUCUGCCUCCGCUGUCGUCGUCAUUUGCCACACCACGUUCUAUCCAGCCACCACGUUGCUCCCGCCAGCCGCCACCAAUCUUGCU